GGCCGUCUAGCUCAGUUGGUUAGAGCGUCGUGCUAAUAUUCACAGCUCCUGGGAGUGCUUGUGACGCGAAGGUCUUGGGUUCGACCCCCACGAUGGCCA